CUUCUAGGACUAAAAUGAACUACAAAAGCUUAAAGGUAAGUUUACUAGACGAAUGUAAAACAUUAAAGGGGGGCGGAGCCUAAGCAAGCCAUAGUCUAUUACUUAUGUGCAAGUAAAGCAAUUGUAUAGAGUUCAUGCACUAGUCAGACCAUUCCCCAGCCUACAGUCAUUGGGGUGGAAGGGUCUGGUACAAUGGCUUAAGAUGUCUUGUCCUGCGUCCACAGCCAAUCAGAUUGCUUUCAGGCCGUGUGCGUCAUUGUAUAGCGUCAUUCUCGUGUCAUUAUCUGUCAUAAUCAAAAUGGCGUCGGUAGAUGGCACUAACUGUCUUGCUUGUGGAGAACCAGUUUUGAAACGGGCUAGAGUAGCGGCAGCUACUGUAUCUUCACUACUAAAGAAGUACCUUUCUGUUAGAUGUCAGGAAAACAGUUUGGAAGUUGAUCUAGACACUGCAUGUCAUUGGUUCUUCUUUUGUGUACAGAUCUUGCUCCAAAGUGUACCUGAAACACUUGGAAAAAGAUGAGCACCUCUAUGAGGCAACAUCUGCAUCUGUUUCAGUUCUAGCUAGUCAACAAAGCAACAGUGAAAUUCCUGCUACUAGAAAGAGAUUGGCAUCACAAGAAUCAGCAUUGCAUGGUGCCACUAAACGUCAAUGUAUCAUUCAGGAUUCUGCCCCCGAAUGUAUCUCUCCUGAGUCUCCUCCAAUUGUUGUUGGAAUUGGCUAUAAAAGUGGAUAUCAAUUAUAUCCUGUAACAUCACCUACACGAAAGAGUUUUGUACGGCAACUGAGUCGAUGUGCAAACUCUUAGCUAAUUUAGCAUUGAAGAAUAAGGAAGUUUUGAAGUAUAUACAUGUAGUCGGGAAGCAAAUUAAGUUUGAGUUGAAAAAGCUGGGAACUGUUCUUGUAAACUCCGUUCAAAGGUCAAAAAGGAAAGACAACGUUGUAAAUUUUCUGUGGAAUGUUAUUUUUGAUGAGAUUAAGGAGUGUUGUCUAAUUUUGUUAUAUUCUUCUACUGACACAGCUACAGAAAGAUCUAAUCGGGUGCAAUUUAUUUGUAUGAUUGUAUGUUUGCUGUCAAAGUUUCACAACAAGCGAAUGUCACUGUUUCAGAAGCUGAUAUCUGCCAUUUUGUAUGCUGGACAUUCAGCAACAAUGGUUUAUACUGUCUCAAUAAUUUAUCUUUUUGACUGAGCAAAAAUUCUCUGUACAAUCUUAUUAAUUCUCUUGGUGAGGAUUACGACUUUGCUGUUCGAAAUUGGAGUUCAAGUUUGAUGUCACAUAUGCCUAGUGAGGUAUGCAUAUAAAUAAUGU